UACGAAGGGGGCUAGCGUUGCUCGGAAUCACUGGGCGUAAAGCGCACGUAGGCGGAUUGCUAAGUCAGGGGUGAAAUCCUGGAGCUCAACUCCAGAACUGCCUUUGAUACUGAGAAGCUUGAGUCCGGGAGAGGUGAGUGGAACUGCGAGUGUAGAGGUGAAAUUCGUAGAUAUUCGCAAGAACACCAGUGGCGAAGGCGGCACUCUGGGCCGGAACUGACGCUGAGGAGCGAAAGCGUGGGUAGCAAACAGG
rnacentral:rRNA from 1 species